rnacentral:rRNA from 1 species
AGCAGCCGCGGUAAUUCCAGCUCCAAUAGCGUAUAUUAAAGUUGUUGCAGUUAAAAAGCUCGUAGUUGAAUUUCGGGGUUAGUAGAUUGGUCAUGCCUCUGGUAUGUACUGGUCUCACUGAUUCCUCCUUCCUGAUGAACCUUAAUGCCAUUAAUUUGGUGUUUUGGGGAAUUUGGACUGUUACUUUGAAAAAAUUAGAGUGUUUAAAGCAAGCUAACGCUUGAAUACAUUAGCUUGGAAUAAUGAAAUAGGACGUUCGAUCCUAUUUUGUUGGUUUCUAGGAUUGACGUAAUGAUUAAUAGGGAUAGUUGGGGCAUUAGUAUUCAAUUGUCAGAGGUGAAAUUCUUGGAUUUAUUGAAGACUAACUACUGCGAAAGCAUUUGCCAAGGAUGUUUCCAUUAAUCAAGAACGAAAGUUAGGGGAUCGAAGACGAUCAGAUACCGUCGUAGUCUUAACCAUAAACUAUGCCGACUAGGGAUCGGAUGAUGUUAAUUUUUUAAUGACUCA